AUUGGCAGCAGUGGGGAAUAUUGGGCAAUGGGGGCAACCCUGACCCAGCGACGCCGCGUGAGGGAAGAAGGCCUUAGGGUCGUAAACCUCUGUUGUGUGGGAAGAAGGAAGUGACGGUACCACACGAGGAAGUCCCGGCUAACUACGUGCCAGCAGCCGCGGUAAUACGUAGGGGACGAGCGUUGCCCGGAAUUACUGGGCGUAAAGGGCGCGUAGGCGGUCAUUUAAGUCAGCUGUGAAAUGGUCCGGCUCAACCGGAUCAUGCGGUUGAAACUGGAUGACUGGAGUGCUGGAGAGGCAAGUGGAAUUCCCAGUGUAGCGGUGAAAUGCGUAGAUAUUGGGAAGAACACCGGUGGCGAAGGCGACUUGCUGGCCAGCAACUGACGCUGAGGCGCGAAAGCCAGGGGAGCAAACGGGAUUAGAUACCCCGGUAGUCCUGGCCGUAAACGAUGAAUGCUAGGUGUGGGCAUCGAGAGGUGUCCGUGCCGGAGCUAACGCGAUAAGCAUUCCGCCUGGGGAGUACGAUCGCGAGAUUGAAACUCAAAUGAAUUGACGGAAU
rnacentral:rRNA from 1 species